rnacentral:sRNA from 1 species
UUCUAGCCGCGAUGGAAACGGCAUCCUUUUUCUUUUUUUCAAAAAAAGGAAAAGAUAAAGUGGACAGCGCGACCUCAA